GGGUUGUGAGGUUAAGCGACCAAGCGUACACGGUGGAUGCCCUGGCAGUCAGAGGCGAUGAAGGACGUGCUAAUCUGCGAUAAGCGCCGGUAAGGUGAUAUGAACCGUUAUAACCGGCGAUUUCCGAAUGGGGAAACCCAGUGUGAUUCGUCACACUAUCAUUAACUGAAUCCAUAGGUUAAUGAAGCGAACCGGGGGAACUGAAACAUCUAAGUACCCCGAGGAAAAGAAAUCAACCGAGAUUCCCCCAGUAGCGGCGAGCGAACGGGGAGGAGCCCAGAGCCUGAAUCAGCAUGUGUGUUAGUGGAAGCGUCUGGAAAGGCGCGCGAUACAGGGUGACAGCCCCGUACACAAAAGCGCAUGUGCUGUGAGCUCGAUGAGUAGGGCGGGACACGUGGUAUCCUGUCUGAAUAUGGGGGGACCAUCCUCCAAGGCUAAAUACUCCUGACUGACCGAUAGUGAACCAGUACCGUGAGGGAAAGGCGAAAAGAACCCCGGCGAGGGGAGUGAAACAGAACCUGAAACCGUGUACGUACAAGCAGUGGGAGCACAGGUUUACCUGUGUGACUGCGUACCUUUUGUAUAAUGGGUCAGCGACUUAUAUUCUGUAGCAAGGUUAACCGUAUAGGGGAGCCGAAGGGAAACCGAGUCUUAACCGGGCGUUAAGUUGCAGGGUAUAGACCCGAAACCCGGUGAUCUAGCCAUGGGCAGGUUGAAGGUUGGGUAACACUAACUGGAGGACCGAACCGACUAAUGUUGAAAAAUUAGCGGAUGACCUGUGGCUGGGGGUGAAAGGCCAAUCAAACCGGGAGAUAGCUGGUUCUCCCCGAAAGCUAUUUAGGUAGCGCCUCGUGAAUUCAUCUCCGGGGGUAGAGCACUGUUUCGGCUAGGGGGCCAUCCCG
rnacentral:rRNA from 1 species